GAGUUUGAUCAUAGGCNCAGGAUGAACGCUAGCUACAGGCUUAACACAUGCAAGUCGAGGGGAAACGACAUCGAAAGCUUGCUUUUGAUGGGCGUCGACCGGCGCACGGGUGAGUAACGCGUAUCCAACCUGCCCACCACUUGGGGAUAACCUUGCGAAAGUAAGACUAAUACCCAAUGAUAUCUCUAGAAGACAUCUGAAAGAGAUUAAAGAUUUAUCGGUGAUGGAUGGGGAUGCGUCUGAUUAGCUUGUUGGCGGGGUAACGGCCCACCAAGGCGACGAUCAGUAGGGGUUCUGAGAGGAAGGCCCCCACAUUGGAACUGAGACACGGUCCAAACUCCUACGGGAGGCAGCA
rnacentral:rRNA from 1 species